AUUGAACGCUGGCGGCAGGCCUAACACAUGCAAGUCGAACGGUAACAGGAAGAAGCUUGCUUCUUUGCUGACGAGUGGCGGACGGGUGAGUAAUGUCUGGGAAACUGCCUGAUGGAGGGGGAUAACUACUGGAAACGGUAGCUAAUACCGCAUAACGUCGCAAGACCAAAGAGGGGGACCUUCGGGCCUCUUGCCAUCGUAUGUGCCCAGAUGGGAUUAGCUUGUUGGUGGGGUAACGGCUCACCAAGGCGACGAUCCCUAGCUGGUCUGAGAGGAUGACCAGCCACACUGGAACUGAGACACGGUCCAGACUCCUACGGGAGGCAGCAGUGGGGAAUAUUGCACAAUGGGCGCAAGCCUGAUGCAGCCAUGCCGCGUGUAUGAAGAAGGCCUUCGGGUUGUAAAGUACUUUCAGCGGGGAGGAAGGGAGUAAAGUUAAUACCUUUGCUCAUUGACGUUACCCGCAGAAGAAGCACCGGCUAACUCCGUG
rnacentral:rRNA from 1 species